GAUGAACGCUGGCGGCGUGCCUAAUACAUGCAAGUCGAGCGAACAGACGCGGAGCUUGCUCCUCUGACGUUAGCGGCGGACGGGUGAGACACACGUGGAUACCCUCCCUAUAAGACUGGGAUAACUUCGGGACACCGGCGCUAAUACCGGAGAAUAUAUUGAUCCGCAUGGUUCAAUAGUGAAAGACGGUUUUGCUGUCACUUAUAGCUGGAUCCGGGCUGCUUUAGCUGGUUGGUAAGGUAACGGGUUACCAAGGGAACGAUGCGUAACCGAGCUGAGGGGCGGGUCGCCCACCCGGGAACGGAAACACGCUCCAUACUCCUACGGUACGCAGCAGUAGGGAAUCGUCCGCAAUGGUCGAAAACUUGACGGAGCAACGCCGCGUGAGAUAUGAAGGUCUUCGGAUCGUAAAACUCGGUUAUGAGUUAAGAACAAAUGUGGAAGUAGCUAUGCACUGCGUGACGGUACCGAAUCAGAAAGCCACGGCUAACUACGUG
rnacentral:rRNA from 1 species